UACGGAGGGGGCGAGCGUUAUUCGGAAUUAUUGGGCGUAAAGGGCGCGUAGGCGGCUUGGCAAGUCAAAGGUGAAAUCCCUCGGCUCAACUGAGGAACUGCCUUUGAAACUGCCUGGCUUGAGGCCGGGAGGGGGUAGCGGAAUUCCCAGUGUAGCGGUGAAAUGCGUAGAUAUCGGGAGGAACACCUGUGGCGAAAGCGGCUCACUGGACCACAACUGACGCUGAGGCGCGAAAGCUAGGGGAGCAAACAGG
rnacentral:rRNA from 1 species